GACGUAGGGCGCGAGCGUUGUCCGGAUUUAUUGGGCGUAAAGGGCUCGUAGGCGGUCCGUCACGUCGGGAGUGAAAACUCGGAGCUCAACUCCGAGCCUGCUUCCGAUACGGGCAGACUAGAGGUAGGCAGGGGAGAGCGGAACUCCUGGUGUAGCGGUGGAAUGCGCAGAUAUCAGGAAGAACACCGGUGGCGAAGGCGGCUCUCUGGGCCUUACCUGACGCUGAGGAGCGAAAGCAUGGGGAGCGAACAGG
rnacentral:rRNA from 1 species